rnacentral:lncRNA from 1 species
GUGACAUCUUGUUUCAAACACUAAUGACACCCUGAUGCUGAAUAUGUGUCUACCCAGAGUCCUAAGAAAAAAGGGAGGGUUCUCCCUGGAGUCACCAGCCCACAGCCCAAGCUGUCUGUCCUGCAUCCACUCCCCAGUGACACUGCUGGGGAGGGAGUCGCCUUCCAAAGAUCUCUCUCCAGGUAUCACACUGCUUUACCAACAGGGAUCACUCUUGCUGAGGAUUUACUGUCCUCCACACCAUCAAGGCCUUUCCCAAGGCCUCUCAGAGCUCCUGGGAGCAAAUCCCCCACUGUUUAGGGUUUUAGUGACUGAACCACCCCAGGGGUUACAGCAGUGACUCCUUCUCUACCUACAGCAUCCCCUGAUGUCCCAGUGUCUGAGAAUUGCACUCCGAAUUAUGUGGCAGAGGACAUCAGAUUUCAUAGUGUCACCCAUGGUUCCCCUGAGGACACUUUGAGCGGCCAUGGACUUGGAGGGAGAGAAGCUCCAGCAAUAUUUCUCCACUGCUGUUUUCACCGUGCCACUGUUUCCCACUUCAUACAAUAGCAGUACCUGGCAAUGCCUUUCCUCUUUCUGCUCUUUGUGUUCUGGUCACCACCCAGAACUCCACACAAGCAUGGUGCCAGGAUGCUGCUUACGGUAAUGAACACAUCUUUCUUUUCGAGUUAUUUUAUGUGGAUCCAUGUUUUAGCUACGCGUCUGUCUGUGCACUACAUGCCCUACUGUUGCCUGCAGAGGCCAGAAGAGGGUUUCGGAUUCCCUGAAACUGGAGUUAUGGAUGGUUGUGAGAGCCACCGUGUAGGUGUUGGGGAUCAAAUCCAGGUCCUCUGCAAGAGCAUCCAGUGCUUUUGACUGUUAUGCCAGAUUUCCAGCCUUCCCUUCCUUAAACAUUUUUAAAGGUUUUAACAUUUCUUUUUUUCUGUUUUUUUAAAACCAAUUUUAUUUUAUUUUUUAAAGAUUUAUUUAUUUAUUAAUUACAGUGUCUGCCUGCAUCUAUGUCUGCUGGCCAGAAGAGGAGCACCAGAUUUUAUUACAGAUGGUUGUGAACCACUAUGUGGUUGCUGGGAAUUGAACUCAGGACCUUUGAAAGCGCAGGCAGUACUCUUAACCACUGAGCCAUCUCUCUAGCCCCCCUUUUUUUUUCCAGACAGGGUUUCUCUGUGUUGUUUUGGAGCCUGUCCUGGAACUUGCUUGGUAGACCAGGCUAGUCUGGGACUCAGAGAUCCAUCUGCCUCUGCCUCCUGAGUACUGAGAUUAAAGGCAUGCGCCACCAAUGCCUGGCUGCACUGAGCCAUUUUUGCCAGCCUGGUCUCCAGAGUGAGUGCCAGGACAGGCUCCAAAGCUAUGUAGAAAAACCCUGUCUCUUGAAAAACCAACCACCAAACAAACAAAAAGAAAGCUAUCUGAGUCUAUGAUGGCUUGUGGGCAAUUUAGCAAGUAUCUCUU